rnacentral:misc_RNA from 1 species
UGUUUUCUGAAGAUUUUUGGUCCCAUAAAAAAUGGGUAGGAAACCCAAAGCUUUUAGGCUUGCAGAAAAGCUUGGGAGUAUGGAAGUGGAGCCUGAAAGCAAUAAUCCUUCCUUACAGAAAGUCGAUGUACAUCCUGAUAACACAAAUCCUACCAUGGAGAGGGUUGAACCACAACAAGCUUACUCUUCCAAAACAUCUAUAAGAAAGAAAGUGAAGAAAUCCCCUGCUAAAGUUAGGCGAUCUGAGCGUCUUCAAAAUGCAGUUAUGGCUACAGAAAAUCAAGACGUUGAGCGUAUUCUUGAAGAAAUAACUGUUAGUGAAAGCGAGAAAGAAGAUGAGCCUGCAAAUGAGGAAGUGCCAGAGCCUACUCUGAAUAGGAAAGACUUGAAUGAAAAAGUUGACUAUGUUGUAAAACUUUUGGAGGCACAACAAAAGACCAUGGAUGCAUUUAAUUCUGGAGCAAUUGGCAAAACAUUCUUUAAUGAAGGCUCUGGUAUGGGUGAUAUCACGUAUAAAAGCUUGUAUAUUGACUCCCAAAAGAAGGUUGAAGCUUUGACAGAGGAAAACCAUCAGCUUAAUAGGAAGUUGGAAUAUGCUCUUGGAAAAAUUGAAGUAUA